rnacentral:rRNA from 1 species
UAUUUGGAGAGUUUGAUCCUGGCUCAGAACGAGCGCUGGAGGCGUGCUUAACACAUGGAAGUCGUACGAGAAAGUUUCUUCGGAAAUGAGUAAAGUGGCGA